rnacentral:misc_RNA from 1 species
GUAUUCAUUAAUCAUCAUUGAGAGUUGAGACUUAGGAACUGUAACAGAACAUGGGAACAAAGAGGAUGUAGUUCCUAAAACUUAGGAAGUGAAAUACUACUAGAAAACAUGGGAAAACAGAACAAAGAGAUUUGAGAGGAUCAUGGAAUCAUGGCUGAAUUGCAGCAGUUGUUGACCUGGGGUUGUCCAUUUGACUGCAACAGGCUGCUAACAUAAAUAUUGUACAGGCACUAAGCAAGUAUUCAUUAAUCAUCAUUA